rnacentral:rRNA from 1 species
UGGGGAAUAUUGCACAAUGGGCGCAAGCCUGAUGCAGCCAUGCCGCGUGUGUGAAGAAGGCCUUCGGGUUGUAAAGCACUUUCAGCGAGGAGGAAGGUGGUGAGCUUAAUACGCUCAUCAAUUGACGUUACUCGCAGAAGAAGCACCGGCUAACUCCGUGCCAGCAGCCGCGGUAAUACGGAGGGUGCAAGCGUUAAUCGGAAUUACUGGGCGUAAAGCGCACGCAGGCGGUUUGUUAAGUCAGAUGUGAAAUCCCCGGGCUCAACCUGGGAACUGCAUUUGAAACUGGCAAGCUAGAGUCUCGUAGAGGGGGGUAGAAUUCCAGGUGUAGCGGUGAAAUGCGUAGAGAUCUGGAGGAAUACCGGUGGCGAAGGCGGCCCCCUGGACGAAGACUGACGCUCAGGUGCGAAAAGCGUGGGGCAGCAAACAGGAUUAGAUACCCUGGUAGUCCACGCUGUAAAACGAUGUCGAUUUUGGAGGUUGUGCCCUUGAGGCGUGGCUUCCGGAGCUAACGCGUUAAAUCGACCGCCUGGGGAGUACGGCCGCAAGGUUAAAACUCAAAUGAAUUGACGGGGUC